rnacentral:rRNA from 1 species
UACAGAGGGGGCAAGCGUUGUUCGGAAUUACUGGGCGUAAAGGGCGCGUAGGCGGCCUUCUAAGUCGAACGUGAAAUCCCCGGGCUCAACCCGGGAACUGCGUCCGAUACUGGAAGGCUUGAAUCCGGGAGAGGGAUGCAGAAUUCCAGGUGUAGCGGUGAAAUGCGUAGAUAUCUGGAGGAAUACCGGUGGCGAAGGCGGCAUCCUGGACCGACAUUGACGCUGAUGAGCGAGAGCUAGGGGAGCAAACGGG